rnacentral:lncRNA from 1 species
UGAGUGCCCAGCAGUGUGGCCUGAAUCUCCGUGGGGUUUAGGGAGACGAAAGGACCCCAGAUCGACGUCCCCUCGUUCCCACUUUGGGGAUCGGCGCUCUGGCUGUUUCGUGAAGGAGAGAGAGGAACUCAGAGUGGUUUUCCAGAUGGGAAUCACAUUGCUCUCUGUCCCUGAGAUCUUGCUGGAGACAGGGCUACUCAGUCCCUCUUUGCCAGGUAAUCUGUUCCAGAAGAAACAUGUGUCGUUCUGACUGAGCCCCUGCCUGUCUGUCACCUUAAGAGCCAGUCAAUUCAUAUGGUCCCCAUAUCAAAGUCUCCUGUGCCCAGAGAGAGGAUUUCAUUUCAACCAUCACCAUCACCACCAUCAUCAUCAUCACCAAGAGAUGUUGUUGAAUUGAUACUGGAAAAGCAGUUUCUAUUGAGCCCCCAAAUGAAGAGUGAGUGCAGAUGAAGAGGAGGCAGGACUCACAAGCCCUUGAACUUUAUUCCAGAUCUGUUAGCACCUACAGGACCCUGCACCAGGAUUUCAUCUGUACUAUCAGCUUCUUCAAAGAGAGAGAGGUUGUUGA